UUCGACUAAGGUUCGAUUCGAGCGAAAGCGAGAAAGCGUUGCCGCAGGCAACGACCCGAAGGGCGAAGCGCGCAGCGCUGAGUCAUCCUUCCCCCACCACCA
rnacentral:sRNA from 4 species